GGGGACCCGCAAGCAGCGGAGCAUGUGGUUUAAUUCGAAGCAACGCGAAGAACCUUACCAGGACUUGACAUCCCUCUGACCGGCUCUUAACCGGGCCUUUCCUUCGGGACAGAGGUGACAGGUGGUGCAUGGUUGUCGUCAGCUCGUGUCGUGAGAUGUUGGGUUAAGUCCCGCAACGAGCGCAACCCUUGCCAUUAGUUGCCAUCAUUCAGUUGGGCACUCUAGUGGGACUGCCGGGGACAACUCGGAGGAAGGUGGGGAUGACGUCAAAUCAUCAUGCCCCUUAUGUUCUGGGCUACACACGUGCUACAAUGGCCGGUACAGAAAGCAGCAAUGCCGCGAGGCGGAGCGAAUCUCGAAAACCGGUCCCAGUUCGGACUGCAGGCUGCAACCCGCCUGCACGAAGCCGGAGUUGCUAGUAAUCGCGGAUCAGAAUGCCGCGGUGAAUGCGUUCCCGGGUCUUGUACACACC
rnacentral:rRNA from 1 species